GGUCGAUUCGAACGGUGGUUUUUCUGCGGAUGGACAACAACUUGAAGAGUGAGACCGUUUACAAAAACCGUUUUGUUUCGCUGGCUUCGUCGCGGGCACAAUCCGUUAGCGGAAAAGAGACAACCCCAAAAAGGAAGGAACAGGACGAUGAUGAUGAGACGGAGUCACCAAAAAGAGCGUCGCGGUCGGUCGCAUCAGUGAGAAGGAGAGUGUUUCACAGUCGCAUGAGUCGGUCGAAGUCAGUCAGUGAAAUUCGAGCCAGGAAAAAAGAAGCUGUUAAUUUUCGACGAGGAUUUUCAAUUUUGCUGGACUUUUGAUCGGUUGAAGGUGGUCGGAUUAGUCGCGAGGGAUUAGUGCGGCGGGAGUGUGAUUUGGGUGUGUCUUGGCGGUGGAAUUCGGAUUAGCUGGAAGAUAAUCGCAGGGUGAUUGAAGAGUGCGUGAAAAAGUGGGUGUUUUCUUUGGCUUGUUUUUUUUUUUUCCUGAGUGGAUGGAACUGCUGGUGAUUGGGUGACAAGCGAGACUGACCCAUCUCUGUUCGAGAAAGCCCAGCAGGGCUCGGCAAAAUUUCCUGGAAGUGCAAAGCAAUGAGUCAGCUUUCGAAAAUGUUAGCGGAAAAACAAAAUUUGUGCAAAAAUUCAUGGUGACACAGUUUAGUAGCUGAAAAGUGCAGUGAAGAAUCCAAGAAGAAGCGCCUAGAGCAGCCCGGAGACCCCUUGGAAUUUUUUGUCAUCGUCGUCCCCGAGCGCAGCAGCUGUCAUCGCGCAGUGUUUGACAUCAGGGAAGAGAGAGGAAAACACCAUCAAGAGGAGGAGACGCGAAAAAUGACAACAAGCCCGCAGUAGUGAGAAGAGGGAAGUUUUGAUUUUGAUAGCGGCCAUCAGCCAGCCUGCGGUUCGGAGUGACCCCGUGUGGAAUGCGAAUUUAUCGAUGUCGUCUGGUCUGGAGGUAGCAGCGCAGCAGUGAGUGUGAUUGUGUGCGUUUUCCGAUUCCCCUCGGGUCGGGAGAUUCAACGGGUUCCGUUUGCGUGAGUGAGUGUGCAGAGGCAUCAAGGUGUCAAAACGCGAAAUCCUCCGCCGAAAAGAAAGUUCAGCCGAGUGGUGGAUGUGUAUCUAAUUAUACGACGAGUGAAAAAUUAUUGAAUUACUGCUCCGCCUGGUGGUGGCAGCCGGGUAGAAAGAAGAGCGAAAAGAAUCGACCCAUCGACCGGAGUGAGUGAGUGCGAGUGUUUGUUGGAGGAUCCGCGGG